rnacentral:rRNA from 1 species
CGUAGCCGCGGUAAUACGUAGGGUGCGAGCGUUAAUCGGAAUUACUGGGCGUAAAGCGUGCGCAGGCGGUUCGUUAAGACAGAUGUGAAAUCCCCGGGCUUAACCUGGGAACUGCAUUUGUGACUGACGGGCUAGAGUAUGGCAGAGGGGGGUAGAAUUCCACGUGUAGCAGUGAAAUGCGUAGAGAUGUGGAGGAAUACCGAUGGCGAAGGCAGCCCCCUGGGCCAAUACUGACGCUCAUGCACGAAAGCGUGGGGAGCAAACAGGAUUAGAUACCCCAGUAGUCCCUGUCUCUUAUACA